AGUGAACGCUGGCGGCAGGCCUAACACAUGCAAGUCGAGCGGCAGCGCGGGGGCAACCCUGGCGGCGAGCGGCGGACGGGUGAGGAAUUCGUCGGAAUCUGCCUUUUUGUGGGGGAUAACGUAGGGAAACUUACGCUAAUACCGCAUACGUCCUACGGGAGAAAGUGGGGGACCGCAAGGCCUCACGCAGAAAGAUGAGCCGACGACCGAUUAGCUAGUUGGUGGGGUAAAGGCCCACCAAGGCGACGAUCGGUAGCUGGUCUGAGAGGAUGAUCAGCCACACUGGGAGUGAGACACGGCCCAGACUACUACGGGAGGCAGCAGUGGGGAAUAUUGGACAAUGGGCGCAAGCCUGAUCCAGCCAUGCGGAGUGUGUGAAGAAGGCCUUCGGGUUGUAAAGAACGUUUGUCCGGAAAGAAAUCCCUGGGGCUAAUACCUUCGGGGGAUGACGGUACCGGAAGAAGAAGCACCGGCUAACUUCGUG
rnacentral:rRNA from 1 species